rnacentral:rRNA from 1 species
CGGGUGCACUGAUCCAGCCGGGCCUUUCCCUCUGUGGAACCCCAUGGCCUUCACUGGCUGUGGUGGGGAAACAGGACUUUUACUUUGAAAAAAUUAGAGUGCUCCAGGCAGGCCUAUGCUCGAAUACAUUAGCAUGGAAUAAUAGAAUAGGACGUGUGGUUCUAUUUUGUUGGUUUCUAGGACCGCCGUAAUGAUUAAUAGGGACAGUCGGGGGCAUCAGUAUUCAAUUGUCAGAGGUGAAAUUCUUGGAUCUAUUGAAGACUAACUACUGCGAAAGCAUUUGCCAAGGAUGUUUUCAUUGAUAAGGAACGAAAGUUAGGGGAUCGAAGACGAUCAGAUACCGUCGUAGUCUUAACUAUAAACUAUGCCGACUAGGGAUCGGACGAUGUUAUUCUUUGACGCGUUCGGCACCUUUCGAGAAAUCAAAGUGCUUGGGCUCCAGGGGGAGUAUGGUCGCAAGGCUGAAACUUAAAGAAAUUGACGGAAGGGCACCACCAGGGGUGGAACCUGCGGCUUAAUUUGACUCAACACGGGGAAACUCACCAGGUCCAGACACAGUGAGGAUUGACAGAUUGAGAGCUCUUUCCUGAUUCUGUGGGUGGUGGUGCAUGGCCGUUCUUAGUUGGUGGAGUGAUUUGUCUGCUUAAUUGCGAUAACGAACGAGACCUUAACCUGCUAAAUAGCCCGUACUGCUUUGGCAGUUCGCCGGCUUCUUAGAGGGACUAUCGG